CAUUUUGGCCAUUUCUCCUCCCUUGGCCCGUUUUUGAGAUGAAAACUUCCGAAAAAGCUAAGAAAAAUAAAUAAAAAAUUUCUCCUGUCUGAUUCGCAAUAAAGGUGCAAAAUGGACGGUGGCAGAUGUGACAAUGGCAAUGGCAGCAGGCUGGUUAGAAGACCUAGGUGCGACGCACCUAGGUUUGAAAUUUUUUUGUUUUUCCUGUUAUGGGUUUGGGCUAGGGUUUAGUUUUAUUUGGGCUGAAAUUUUAGGCUUCGAGUUUGGUUGGUUUGGGCUAAUGUAAAUGGACUGUUUGAUUAUUGGACUUUGGUUUAUUUAUUUAUUUAUUUGGUUUUGUUUCUGGUUUGGGCCCCGGGCUAAAAUUGGGCCUUACAGACCUCUUUUGUAACUUAAAAUUUUCCUUUCAAUUUAGUUUUCAUUUUUGAUUUCUUUUUA